CCAGUGACCUAUGCAGGGUUUAUCCCUCUGAUUUUUGUCUUUCAGAUGCUUGAUUCCUCGUCAUGAGCAGAGGAGGUUAAAAGAUGUGAAACUCAAACUAAAUGAUUUCUACUUGAUGAACAAUGUAACAAAGCCAUGGAAGGAAGUUGAAACUAUUGGCCGGAGAAAAAAAUAAUCUUUCCCUUACACAACUUGUCUAUGUACUUGAGACAGAAAGGUGAACAAAACAGGCAAGCUUUCUGCUUUCAUGGAGCUCACACUGAAUUGUAACUUUUAUUCACUAAGUGCUUACUAUUCUAGGCACUGUGUAUGCAUUAUCUCGUUUUUAUGCCAUAGGCAGAAAUCUGUGCUGUAUAGGGAAGGAACUUGAGACUCAGAUUAAUCAGAUUGCCCAAGGCUACCCAGCUGGUAAGUGAUUCAUUCAGGAUUCUGCCCCAGAUCUAUUUGAUUCCAUAAAUGGUUGAAACUGCUGAAUUUGGGGAUUGUAUGUGUAAUUAACAAACCAUGUUGUUCUUUUCCUAGAUAUUAUAAGUGAAAACUAACUUUACCAUACUGGAUAUUUAUCAUAUUUUACUAUAAUAAUGCCAUGAGGUAGAGAGCUCUAAGUUUUUAUUUCUGCUUGUUAGUUUUGAAUUAAAUGUAUAUGACACAUUAAUAUCCUGUUUCUGACAAAACCCAGAAGGUAGCAAGGUUUCAUGAAGACCCCCUGAACUAUAUCAGAUGUAACAUAAGAACCAGUAAGUUUUGAAACUGUUACUGUCCAGGCUAAAGCUAGUACCCUCUCUCAGUUCCUCUCAGAUCUUUCCCACAAGCAAAACAUGUACUAACUUCUUAUGAACUUUAUGAAGAAUGGGUAUCCACUUAGAGACCUGCAUGGUAAAGACAAAUUGUCAUACUUCUUUGUUCUUAUAGAAUGAUGGAGUAAAAAAAAUUAGGGUUAUGCUUUCUGAGAGAAAGUUAAUUAUACAAUCACCUCAAUUAUUCAGGGGUAGAAUAUUAGAUUAAGGAUAUAUUCAUUCCUGCCUUGGGCAGUAGAGAAGGACUUUUUCGUUGACACUAACAUGAUUGCAAUAAGGCAUUACAAGUGAGCUGGCAUCACCUGAAAAAUGACAUAUAUCUCUGAAAGGUGGCCAAGUUUUAAGGGACCUUAAAGAUUAUCUAGUCCAUUGUCUUCUUUUUGCAGAUGAGGAAAUUGAGGCCCCAAAAGGUAAAAUUACUUGCCCAAGUUACACAGCUCCGUAAGACACAGCUGUGAUUGUUUUUCAGCUGAGAAAAAAUUCAUUUUAACGAGUUAAUGUUUGGCAACUAUACUAUAAAUAGCAGAACAUAUACUGAUGUCAUUUACCCAAGUAAAUUGGGUCCUUCAGUUGACUUUCAAGACCAGAGUCCUGACAAGGGAUAGAGUUCUUUCCUUUGGUGUCUAAUUUGAGCAUUGAUGUAGACUUGGGAUAGUGAGUGAAACCAUAAAGAGAGAAAAUAGAAGACUAACAGCAGAGGGAAUGAGUCUGCCCUCCUUUUAAAAAAGAAUUCAGCCCAUCCCUCCCAAUUCAUAUCUCGGCUUUUUGUUUUGUUGUUAUGGAAUCAGUUCUGCAAGAGGCAUAGGAAAACAGGUGAUGACUGCCAGUUGGCAUAACUUCAAAAGGAGGAUUAGAUAUGAGAAGAAAAAGAGUGGAACUUUUUAUUACAGAAUCUGUUCUGGCUAUCUACUGACAUGUAACCUAUCACCUGACAAUGCCAUGGCUUCCCUAUGAAGGAUUUGUUAUUCCUGAUGAUUCUGUGGGUUGGCUGAGCUCAGCUGCAAGGUUCUUCUGUUCCUCUUGGUCAAGCUGCAGUCAGUCAUGCAGCUGCUUUCAGCUGGGAGUCUGUCUUGGAACAUCCAAGAUGGUCUCUUAUCUUCCAAGACCACUCUCCAGGUAACUCUUUAUCACUCGGUAGUCUAGCCUGGAUUUUUUUAGGCCAAGGCAGCUGCCUCCUAAGAGAGUGCAAAAAGCAGUAGCUUCCAGACCUUCUCAAGGCCUGUGCAGUGAUCUUGCCCAGUGUCACUUCUGCUAAAUUCUGUUGAGCAAAAGCAACUCAAAAGGCCAGCCCAGAUUCACGGGCAGAGGAAAUAGACUCCAUUUACUGAUGAGAGAAUGGCAAAUAAUUUUGUGGCCAUCUUUAAUCCACUGUAAUCUCAGUUUUUUAGAAUCUCAAUUUUUGUUUCUCAACCAUUUUACACCUUAACUUUCUUACCAUUUUAAUGUCCAUAUCAAAUAUUCAAGAAAUGCCAGUAUUUCCUUAGCCUGUGCAAUAACCUGUAUCUUUCCUCGGUUUCCCCCAAAGACAAAGAAAUUCACACAUAACUCAGGAAAAUGCUACGAGUAGGACUUUGUGAAAUCCUACAUUUCAGAGAUUACAGAAAGAUCCCUAAUUAUCCAAAUGGGAGUGGAGGUGAAUUCUCCAGCCCCUUCUAUUCUCUAGGUGGUAUAAAAACAAGGCCUCAAGUCCCAGGAUAUUUAAGUUGUGGAAUAAAACGAAAUAUGAGCAUGUGAGAGUGAGCCAGGGAGAGGAUUUUGGCUGGGAAUUUAGGUGUGUAAUUUGGUUCAGCAAGAAGACCCAAUCCAUUUUCCCUUUGGCUGCUGAAUUCUCAUUUCUCUAAUAGAGUCUGAAUUUAGAGAGCAUCUUCUCUGACCAGGUACUCCUCUGCCAGAACAACGAGAAGUGCCAAACCGCCUCAGUAACGAUGGCCAACUUGACAUGGAGACAUCGUAAAAAUCGGAAUGAGGGAUCAGCUUUGAUUUCCCUAAACUUUAUUUAUUUACUUUUUAGUACUUACAAAGGCGCUACACACAAGAGCUCAGGUUGGUUUUUCUGCUGAAAAUGCAGUGGCUGCACAGCCAGCCAGGCCCUCUUACUGAAGCAGGUAGACAAUGGUGGGAAUGGGCGUUCUGGAGUGGGUUUCACUGUAAAGACAGCAAUGUGAUUUUGAGUCCCCUUUUCCCUGAAGGCACCAGCAGAAUCACCAGGAGGCAGCCUCUUCUCCCUCAAAUGAGAUACAGCAGUUUAUCAUGUCAGACUAUGCCACAGAGGGGUAAGGCUAUGGGGCUUCUGGCUGUCAGGAGGAGGAUUUCAUACUGAGGCCCCUCGGGUCAUAUGGAGGAAGCCUAAAAAGUUCAUUCUCCUUCUCCCGUUGUCUAGAAUCUUGUCUCCUUUUCCCACCCCAGUGUCCUCUUGACCAACCUUAUAUUCCAAAUCCAAGUCCUGUGUGCGUGUGAUAUGAGUGCUGUCAGAUUUCCCUCUCAUCCAUUAAGAGAAGGCUCCCAAUUGUAUCUGAAUCAAUUCAGUAAAAAGAAAUAUAAAGGAAUGGGUUUUUAUCUUAAUUUAUACAUUUUCAUAGGCUCCCACAAACUUAGGAAACUCUCUUUUAACAUUUGGAACAAUUCUGUGAAAAGAAUUUGAAAUUAUUUCUGCCUAAUAGAGAUGUAUUCUAUGGAGGCAGAAUCAUGAGGGGAAAAUAUACAUAUGUAACUCUUUGGCAGAGCUGCUGUAUUAAAAUUCUGUUCACAGCUCCUAUUAGAGUUCCUCACCACCUAUUUCAGAUUUUGCUCAUAGUAAUCGUUUCACGGUAAAACUCUUUCGUGUCUAUUUCCCGAAUUGCUAUGUUGUCUAUACAUAUUUAGUGAUAAUUCAUGAUUGGGUUGUAUUUACCCCCGUCGUUAUGUAUUACAAAUGAAAUGACAGCAUCUGCUGAAAUUAAAAGUGGCCACAUUUUCGCUGGAGCUUAAUUAAAUGCCAAAAUUUAUCUACAUUAACAACAAAGUAGUGAAAUUUAUUGAUCAAUUCACAUGAUAUAAGUUGACAAAUGGCUUAAGCAAUUUCCAUAAUUUUCUACACGUGUUAAAAUUUGUAAUGAAAAAGAACACUAUAUUAACAUUAAAUGAGAAAUGAAAGGGAGGUUUUGUGCUGGGGCCAGUGCCCUGGAGCAGUGUACUUUGUUUUCCGGGCCCUGUCCGGGCUUGCUGUUUGAGCUGUGUACAGAUGGGUCUCUGACAGUCCUACAGCUGUUCUCCUAAUUGUCCAUUAAGUGUUCUAUUGAUUCUCUGAUUCAAAGUACAUGUCUUUCAACUCGAGGUAUCGUGUGAAGUGGCAGACACAUUCCUUGUAGAAUGACAGAGCUGCUUGAAACCUAAAAAUGUGGUCUGCCAGUUUCAAUUGAGCAUCCUGCUUUCAAAGGAGAAGGCUUGCUUAAAGGCGCUUUGUAAUAGCUGGUUAGGUUUUAUUUUCUAAACUUUUAGCAUCAAUCAAUUAAAGCAGCAGCAGCACGAAGUGUUUUAAUUCCUGGUUAAGCAUGUACAGAUUGCACCUGGCUGAUUCGGGGUAGGGCGAGGGAAUUGGUAUUGGUAACGGAAGGUCAACCUUCUUUAGCUGUAUGCAGAUUUUUUCCCCUAUGCACCUGACAUGCGCAAAGUCAUUUUCAUUUGACUUGCAAGUUCACUUUUAGCAUUUUUUAAGAAAUUGAGAUCAUCUGCAAUUCCAGAUUAUGCCAGUCAGAAGCCUGUUUAAAAUCAUCUUUCUUUAAUCUGUAAAGUGAAAGAUAAGAUGUAUAUCUGUUGCGAGGACCAUAAAUCUUCAGAGAAACAAAUAACCAUAGAUAAAACUGUAAAAGUUAUUUAGUUCUCCACGGGAAGAGGUUUAUUAAUCUAAAAUUUCCAGUCCACUGUGUCAUGAUUUGGUUAGCACUCUGUAUCUCAUUUUGUGCAAUUGUACCCUAAGCAAAGAGCUGAUCGCUUCAGAGUUUGAACUUUAUCAGUUGUGCAGUUCAGUUGUAAUCUUAGUGCGAGGAAUAUAACAAAAAAAGUCCAAAACUAUGAUUUAGAUCCCCUCCCCAAUACCAUUUGCUUUCUUUUCUUAAUAAGGUGGUGCAUCCUAAUGUUCUUACCAUUUUGGUUUAGCUCUUAAUUAGUUUGUAAUAUAAUAUUUCCAUAGAAAACAGUCUUAUUAUCUAGUAGUCUUUCAGCUAUAAAUGAAAUGAACAAAUAACGCUUGUGGCCUCCUGUGAAUCAAUUUAAUUAGGAGCUACCCCAAUGGCCCUAAUCACAGUUGAGGUUCUUUAGCAUGAUUUUAGCUAUUAAAUAAGUUUUGAUAGUCAUCUAGGUUUUCAAAGGGAAAAAAGACUGUCAAGCACACAUUUAAACAUGUUUAAUGUAUUAAAUAUACAUAUUUAAAUGUGUAAAAAUGAAAAAUAGUAUAGAAAUCACUUUAAGGGAAUGAUUAAUUAAAAACUGCUCUCUUUCCCACAAUUAGCUGCUCAUUCUUUUUUUUUUUUUGGCCUCCUUUGUAUCUUCUCACAAGAGCCCCUUUUUGAAGAAUACUCCCUUCUCUUUCCCUCUCACUAUUGUUGGGUAAAGGAGCAUGGCCACGACACUAGAGUUCCUUUUGUCAAAAGCAAGUGAUUUGUGUCCUGACUCUCUGUCUGAAAUAUGACUCUCUUUGCUCUGACUCUCCCCGUCUAUGAGCCUCCAUGCUGGACAGUCCCAAGUAGGAGGUGAGUGACCUAAGGUGCUUGGCCUAGUGAGACAGUGAGAAUUACCCAGCAAGAGUUAUUUUGGCAGGGCAAAAUGGGCAAAAUGGCACGUGGGUGCAUCUACAUAGAGCCGGAGAAUGUGGGUAUGGCCUUGAUCGAACCUGACUUGACUAUGGCUUUAUGGUAGGUAUAAGAUAGCCAGAUCCUAAAGCUUCUUUUUUUCUGUGUCUACAUAGCAUCUCUAGUGCCUGGAUUCACAUUUCUAUCUGUUGCUAGUCAUCCUUUAUCAUAGAUGGUGACAAUGAGGCAAGCCUUGAAUAUGACUUGGAAAGAAAGCAAAAUCGAAUAAUGCCACUAGUGGUGUGGCCCACAAAUUGUAAGAUGUCUUAUACUUAAAGAAAAAAAUUUUUAAGAAAUGGAGGUACUGGGCAUUGAACCCAGGACCUCACGCAUGCUACGCAUAUGCUCUACCACUGAGCUAUACCCUACCCAUACCUAGACAUCUCAUACUUCGAUUACAACAAAAAUAACGUUAUUUUAACUGUGGGAACUGAGGGAAAUUUGAGAUUUAAGGGAGAUGAGAAAAGGACUUUCUAGUUACAUAUUUGCCUGGGGAUUUCAGAGGCUGAUCAGCAUACCCUCAGAUGUAACUAGCUUGACAAAGACUGCCACGUGGUCAAAAUACUCUAUCCAAGUUAGCGAGUCAGCAUGGGGAAUGAAAGUUAAAGUGACCACCCACAAUUACAUCAAAUAUAAAGUUGGUUAUACAUGUUUCAUUACUUCCAAAAAUGUAGAUGCAAUAAAUUCAUGAGGGAAGAAUGAGUUUGGCCACUAGGUCUAAUAAACAGGGCAGAUGCCAGGACAGGAUAACCUGAGGAAUGAAUUUGCUGGGUGAGGUCUUGGAAGUUUAAAUUAUGAUUGACACCUGGAGGUUUUUCUCAACCAGGGUCGGAUCACUAACUAGGUAGUGCUCCCUCAAAAGGUAGAGUUGAUUUAAAAAGUUAAAUAAAACAGUCAGUUAACACUUCCUUUCCCCAGAAUUAUUCAAAGAUAUCCCUGAGUAGUGGGGCUCUGAUCCUUGCUAAUGCUUUCUUCAGGUUUGGUCUCCAUCUAAUUGGCUCCAGAAGGUAGUCUAUCUCAUUUUAAUAAAGAGUAGUUCUUUACUAUCCAAAAUACAGUCUUAUUAGUUUACACACCUGAGCCACUGAGUGUGUGAUCAUCUUGUGAGGAUGUGGGCGCAGUAAACUAUCCCUCUCCUCAGCACUAAAAUAGAAAAUAACAUGUUCUUUUGAACAGGAAAGGGGUACUACUGAUACCUUGGCAACAGAACACACACUAAAUUUAUCAUCCCAGGAGAAGCAACACCACCCUGAACCUGCACACAAGGUAUUUGUCAAGGGCAAAGGAUUAGCCCAUGUCCGCAAGACAUGGUUGUUCUGGGAAACCUGGUUCACGCCAGGGAAUGCCCUGGUGUCAGCACUGUGGCUUAACCAAUUGAGCUAACCAGGCUGAUCAUGGUUAUUAAAUAAGCAUCCAUAAAGCUUCCACAGGUGUGCACUUUUAAAGUCAAUCAGUGGCCCCCCAUUUUUUUUUUUUUGACUUAGACCAAAGAACAGAUGAAAGUCAAGGAGCAGGAUCAGAAAUAGAGCUUCAGUGUAAUCCUACGUUAAAAG